GAUGAACGCUGGCGGCGUGCCUAAUACAUGCAAGUCGAGCGAACGGACGAGAAGCUUGCUUCUCUGAUGUUAGCGGCGGACGGGUGAGUAACACGUGGAUAACCUACCUAUAUGACUGGGAUAAAUUCGGGCAACCGGAGCUACUACCGGAUAAUAUUUUGAACCGCAUGGUUCAAAAGUGAAAGACGGUCUUGCUGUCACUUAUAGCUGGAUCCGCGCUGCAUUAUCUAGUUGGUAAGGUAACGGCGUACCAAGGCAACGAUGCAUAGCCGACCUGAGAGGGUGAUCGGCCACACUGGAACUGAGACACGGUCCAGACUCCUACGGGAGGCAGCAGUAGGGAAUCUUCCGCAAUGGGCGAACGCCUGACGGAGCAACGCCGCGUGAGUGAUGAAGGUCUUCGGAUCGUAAAACUCUGUUAUUAGGGAAGAACAUAUGUGUAAGUAACUGUGCACAUCUUGACGGUACCUAAUCAGAAAGCCACGGCUAACUACGUG
rnacentral:rRNA from 1 species